rnacentral:rRNA from 1 species
ACGAACGCUGGCGGCGCGCCUAAUACAUGCAAGUCGAGCGAGAAGGUGUAGCAAUACACUUGUAAAGCGGCGAACGGGUGAGGAAUGCAUGGUAACCUACCUCGAUGGGAAUAACUAGCCGAAAGGUUAGCUAAUACCGCAUACGUUUCCGGAACUUCGGUUUCGGAAAGAAAGCAAUACCGUGGUAUUGCGCUCCUGGAUGGGCUCAUGUCCUAUCAGCUUGUUGGUGAGGUAACGGCUCACCAAGGCUUCGACGGGUAGCUGGUCUGAGAGGACGAUCAGCCACACUGGCACUGCGACACGGGCCAGACUCCUACGGAGGCAGCAGUAAGGAAUAUUGCGCAAUGGACGAAAGUCUGACGCAGCGACGCCGCGUGGGGAUGAAGGUCUUCGGAUUGUAAACCCUUUCGGAGGGAAGAUGGAGUGGGUAACCACUUGGACGGUACCUCCAGAAGCAGCCACGGCUAACUUCGUG